AACGGCCGCGGUAUUUUGACCGUGCAAAUGUAGCGCAAUCACUUGUCUUUUAAAUAAAGACCUGUAUGAAUGGCAUAACGAGGGCUUAACUGUCUCCUUUUCCCUAUCAAUGAAAUUGAUCUCCCCGUGCAGAAGCGGGGAUUUAUACAUAAGACGAGAAGACCCUAUGGAGCUUAAGCCGCAAGAACAGAACAUGUUACUUCUUUCAGUCAAAAUAUGAAACCUUAUUGAAUCCUGUUCAAGUGUCUUUGGUUGGGGCGACCACGGAGUAUAAAAAAACCUCCCCGAGGAAUAAAGGUAUUCCUUUCUAUCUAAGGGUGACAACCCUAAGAAUUAGAAUUUCUAACCAUAAUGAUCCGGCAAAGCCGAUCAACGAACCGAGUUACCCUAGGGAUAACAGCGCAAUCCUCUUUUAGAGCCCAUAUCGACAAGAGGGUUUACGACCUCGAUGUUGGAUCAGGACAUCCCAAU
rnacentral:rRNA from 1 species